AACGAACGCUGGCGGCAUGCCUAACACAUGCAAGUCGAACGAGACCUUCGGGUCUAGUGGCGCACGGGUGCGUAACGCGUGGGAAUCUGCCCCUUGGUUCGGAAUAACAGUUAGAAAUGACUGCUAAUACCGGAUGAUGACGAAAGUCCAAAGAUUUAUCGCCGAGGGAUGAGCCCGCGUAGGAUUAGCUAGUUGGUGAGGUAAAGGCUCACCAAGGCGACGAUCCUUAGCUGGUCUGAGAGGAUGAUCAGCCACACUGGGACUGAGACACGGCCCAGACUCCUACGGGAGGCAGCAGUGGGGAAUAUUGGACAAUGGGCGAAAGCCUGAUCCAGCAAUGCCGCGUGAGUGAUGAAGGCCUUAGGGUCGUAAAGCUCUUUACCAGGGAUGAUAAUGACAGUACCUGGAGAAUAAGCUCCGGCUAACUCCGUGCCAGCAGCCGCGGUAAU
rnacentral:rRNA from 1 species